AAGAAGCUUCUGGGUUGAUAGUAAUUGACUCUUUUUAGUUCACUUUUACCAGGAAAAUCCCUGAUUGGUUAGAAGUAGGCUUUCUCCAAGGCAGAAGAGGCUGAUCAACCCAUAUGCAGGUCCAACUCAGAAGUACAGAAAAGAUGAUGCCACUGGAAACAACCCUCAACCAGUGGUGUAGAAGGUUGGUUUUAUCUGUCACUCUCCUGUUAAAAACCUACAAUUAGCCUGAGCAAUUUAUCAAGUCCAAAUUCCUCUGCCCGACCUCAGAUACAUUUUCUUCACAGAA